rnacentral:tRNA from 1 species
CAAGGAAUAGUUUAAUAAAAAUUUUAGUUUUGGAGAUUAACGAUAGGGGUAUCCUUUUCCUUGA